ACUCCUACGGGAGGCAGCAGUGGGGAAUAUUGGACAAUGGGCGCAAGCCUGAUCCAGCCAUGCCGCGUGAGUGAUGAAGGCCCUAGGGUUGUAAAGCUCUUUCACCGGUGAAGAUAAUGACGGUAACCGGAGAAGAAGCCCCGGCUAACUUCGUGCCAGCAGCCGCGGUAAUACGAAGGGGGCUAGCGUUGUUCGGAUUUACUGGGCGUAAAGCGCACGUAGGCGGACUAUUAAGUCAGGGGUGAAAUCCCGGGGCUCAACCCCGGAACUGCCUUUGAUACUGGUAGUCUUGAGUUCGAGAGAGGUGAGUGGAAUUCCGAGUGUAGAGGUGAAAUUCGUGGAUAUUCGGAGGAACACCAGUGGCGAAGGCGGCUCACUGGCUCGAUACUGACGCUGAGGUGCGAAAGCGUGGGGAGCAAACAGGAUUAGAUACCCCAGUAGUCCC
rnacentral:rRNA from 1 species